rnacentral:rRNA from 1 species
GACGAACGCUGGCGGCGUGCUUAACACAUGCAAGUCGAACGGAAAGGCCCUGCUUUUGUGGGGUGCUCGAGUGGCGAACGGGUGAGUAACACGUGAGUAACCUGCCCUUGACUUUGGGAUAACUUCAGGAAACUGGGGCUAAUACCGGAUAGGAGCUCCUGCUGCAUGGUGGGGGUUGGAAAGUUUCGGCGGUUGGGGAUGGACUCGAGGCUUAUAAGCUUGUUGGUGGGGUAGUGGCUUACCAAGGCUUUGACGGGUAGCCGGCCUGAGAGGGUAACCGGCCACAUUGGGACGGAGAUACGGCCCAGACUCCUACGGGAGGCAGCAGUGGGGAAUAUUGCACAAUGGGCGGAAGCCUGAUGCAGCAACGCCGCGUGCGGGAUGACGGCCUUCGGGUUGUAAACCGCUUUCGCCUGUGACGAAGCGUGAGUGACGGUAAUGGGUAAAGAAGCACCGGCUAACUACGUG